rnacentral:rRNA from 1 species
AGAGUUUGAUCCUGGCUCAGGACGAACGCUGGCGGCGUGCUUAACACAUGCAAGUCGAACGGAACUUUUAGUUUAGUGGCAAACGGGUGAGUAACGCGUAGGUAAUCUGCCGCAAAGUUGGGGACAACAGUUCGAAAGGACUGCUAAUACCGAAUGUUAUAACUUUUCCGCAUGGAGGAGUUAUUAAAGAUUUAUCGCUUUGCGAGGAGCCUGCGUCCGAUUAGGCAGUUGGUAGGGUAAAGGCUUACCAAACCUACGAUCGGUAACCGGUCUGAGAGGAUGAACGGUCACAUUGGAACUGAGACACGGUCCAGACUCCUACGGGAGGCAGCAGUGGGGAAUAUUCCACAAUGGGCGAAAGCCUGAUGGAGCGACGCCGCGUGAGUGAAGAAGGUUUUCGAAUCGUAAAGCUCUUUUCAACUUGACGAAUAACUGUUUAGAACAGUGGAGACGGUAAAGAUGGAAUAAGCCACGGCUAACUACGUGCC